UAGCGAGGAUCGAUCAUCUUGCAGCUGGCCAUCACUUGCAAAUAUGUAGGCGAGUCAGGACAACUGAUGGCAGUUACCGAUGGUAAUACGGAAGAUGCUUCUUUUGAUGACAUGUUCAAAGCUUCUACCAGCAUUACGGCCAUCGUUUCUAUCCGUAGAGCUUUUCUUGAGAGAUUCUGAGCGUGUUCGGUCAUUUCAUGUGACACACCGAGGUACCAUGAAGGAGAACCUUGAUUCAAAUGUGUCCGCGAGUUCAGGAUUGCUCGCUCCGCCUGAUCGUAUUUCUCCAUCGAAAUAUUUAUACUGCAAUGGAUCUUAGAGACCUUGUCUAGGAGAUGGCAUUUCGCCUCAUUCUGUGCGGAGCACUGUUCGUCAUUCUAUUUAUCGCGUCGUCUUAUUUAAUAUUAAAUUCAUUCAUCCUUUCAUCCACAUAUAUCUUGGAGUUAAGUGUGGUACUUAGCUAUUUUUUUAAUCAUACCGAUGGGAUACACGGGCGACCUUAAGAAGAGAUUAAAGAAGAUUCGUUGUUUGACAUUUAACUCUUUCCUGCUUCUUUUGUGACUUUCUUACGUAAUCUUUUCUGCGUCCAUGAAUAGUGCCUGUACAAAUCGAUGAAAGUUAUUUGGAAACUUGGUUUGCUCUUGCUGAAGAAAAUUUUCAAAUUCCCACUAAAAAUAAAUAAUCGUGUAUACACGUUAUUUUGAGAUAUGAUUUGAUAACACUGAUGUUGGUAAAUCAUUAAUGCUAUAUCUAUAUUAAUUAUUUGACGAUUCUUCGUGUUUCUCUAUUUUUAAGUAGGUACACACAUAUAAGUACAAUUAAAGUAUAUGUAAAAAAAAUUUCUGGUUGUAUAUAUAAUCUACUAUUUUAGAGUUUCUAAAAAUUUAUAUCUCAUAUGAUUUCAUAUAUUUUUUUUACUAGUAAUUACUUUGAAAUUUUGGAAUUUUUUAUUCACUGUCUUUUAAUUAUAUGUCAAGAACAUUGCCUAAAAAAUAUAUGCAUAUAAAUAUUGAUUUAAAAAUAAUAAUAAAAAAUGUAGAAGGAACCAUGACCUUUAAGAAAAACAUGUUUCACAAUAUUUUUUUUUGACAAACUUUUGAUGACAUGAUGAUAAAGAUAUUCAACGCAAUAAAUUUCUAUUUUGAAAGAUUUAUAGCUAAAAGUUAGCUUUCUGAUACAUCGGCAUAUCAUUAAAUCUGUUUUAAAUUGUAUCUCAUAUAAAAUAUACAUUUUCUUGCACGAACAUUAAUAAUUCUUCUUAAUAAGAAUAUUUAUAAAUGUCAAUCUGAUGCAAGUACAA
rnacentral:misc_RNA from 1 species